rnacentral:lncRNA from 1 species
CUCCUCUGUGCAGACUCAGCACUGCACCAAGGCACUUUUGUGGUGACUAAUGUGGGAAGGAGAUAAUGCAGAAAAUAAAAUUCAGGUGGGGAAAGGAGUCCUCAGGUGGGAGGAACAGCCAGAGGGAAGUGACUGGCAGGUGAUGGCAUAAAUAGGGUGCAGGGCAAAGGAGCAGGAGGGUAAGAAAGUUAACAGAAAUUUCCAAUGUCCAUCCCAUUCCUCUCUGUUCUCCUCACCAAGGUCUCCUCUUUGUUCCAGGUGUGUUAUCUCAGUGCCUGUGAGCUGGGCAGCAGUGCCUGGCUGCCAUGUGUUGGGGAGAUAGUUCUGCUGUUUCAGGUUCCUUGGCAGCAUUCUGAAGUUGGUGGUGUUUGCCACCUUCUGCAGGCUGAGCCCAUGAUCUUCCCUACCAACAACACCUGCCCCAUGGAUCUCACCAAGAUCAUGUGUAUUGACCUGCACAGGCAGGAUGGAGCAGGACUGCAGCACAUGGCUGUGUGUGUGAGGAAAGGGCCGGCAGAGCACAGCUUUGCUUCUUGUGUUACCCUGUGCAAAACAUCUCCUGGGAACAUCAUUUCUGGUGACUCCAUCCUGUGGAGCAGCAGCAAAACAAGCACCUACGUGCCUGCCAGAAGGUGCAAGUCAGCCAGGACCAGGAAGAAAAAGGGGGUGAGGGGAUGUGUGUCUGUGAGAUGGAGACAAAAGUUUCAGUUGUUUCAAUCCCAGGUGAUUUCUCUUAAAAAAAAAAAAAUCACACUUUCUAUUCUCUUUUCCCUGUCUGUUUUCCCUAGAGAGAGUUAUCUUUUCUUUACCAGUUUUCCUCCUUCACAAACCCACUUUUUUUUUCUCUUCUUGUCACUGCAGGAAGAGGAAGAAAAGAAAGUACACUGGAGGAAAUGAAGGAGAAAUGGAUAAACACAACCUGAAAAAGCAUUUAAUUUCUUCAUCGCUACCUAAAAAGCAGAAAAUGGUUUUAAAGUAACUUUUAUGAUAUGAAAGUCAUUUAAAGUAAUUGUUCUUAAAAUUCCUACCAGGUCAAGCAAUUGUUUCUGUGUCUGUCAUGCAAGUGAAUGAGUAACAAUGAGAUGGUAAAAACUGGCUGACUUCAUAAUUUAAAAAAUAAUUUGUUCACAUCACUUUUUUGCUUUUGUACAGUUUCUUGCUUCCUCACUAUGAUUCUGAACACCAGCUUUAUUGCUGCCUUGUGCACUUGGGGUUUAGAAGUGUAUUGCUAGAUUAGAGGGGAUUAGAUUGGCUGGGGCUCUGAGCAACCUGGACUGGUGGAAGGUGUCCCGGCCCCUGGCAGGGAGGUUGGAACAAGAUGAGCUUUAAGCUCCCCUCCAACCUAAUAAAUUCUGUCAUUCUAUGAUUAAAGCA